CCCUACCCAUACAGUGGUACCUUGUACAGUUCGCAAGUACGAUCGCAUAUGAGCGUUUCCUCUUACAUUAGCUCCAUGUCGAUUACCUUUGCGAUCCUGUCCUACCGUGGAGGCGAAAGCAAAGGUUAACUGCCGCACUAGUGGCACUGAUACAGACGUGAUGUGAUCUUUUUGUAUUAGAUAUGAAUCAGCGACAGUAAGGUAAAUUCAAAAUCUUUCUUAUACAUUUCAUUAAUUUUGAAGUCGGAUUUGGUGUACCAAGAUGACGAUGAAGGAAUCGGCAUCGGUGUACAAGAAGUUUGGUGGUGGCAGAAGAAGGAAAAGCUUUGUUCGUCAAAGCAGGGGACUCCAAAUCUCAUCAGAUCGAUGCAUGGCAGUACAAGCGCUGAGGAUGUCUGACAUCUGGUCCACUUUUCCUCAGAACAUGAUGAAAUUAUUCACCUUCUCGGUACCAAUAUUCCUUGAGGAUAAGCUUUCAUGAACUGUGAUGCAGGAGGAGUUACUGAGUGUGCUUUGUUGUUAGCAAAAGGGAUGUCCUGGUGUGGACCUUGCGCCCCAUGAGCCUCCAUGGAAGUGAGGCCAGCGACAUGGGUCUCACGGCCAUCGGCCACUGGAACGCCUGCAGAGAGGCUCAUGUGAGUGUUUGGUUGGGCGCGAGACGUACCCGGACAACCCUGCGAGGCCCCAGCCACUGUUCGCGGCCACAUGGGAGGUCGAGACGAGGAGGGGGCAAGCCGGACUCGUCUGGUCAAGCCACCACAGUCGUGGCUCUGCUCUCGUCCGACUGUGGAAGGUGGCCGGUGGACGAGCCUCCGUCCAACACGUGGGUCUUGCGCCCGGGCUCGGUGCUCUCCUGUCGCAGGACAAGGGCGGUGGAGGCGCAGUGCCCUCGCGCGCGGCCAUUGAUGCCUUCCCCCCGGUCGGGCCUCACAGUCUUGUCGGGCCGCGAAGGCCCACAGCCCAAACCCUAACAAACGACGGAGACGUCACAUCCCCACUGCCGAAAGUACGCGUCUUAUGCCCCAAAUCUCCGCUUUGUCCCCUCUUCCACCUCCAAUCCCUGUGCUCUCCACCCUCUCUCCCUCUCGUUCUUGUCCGAGAGCUCAAAAGAUCUACCAGGUGGUCAAACUAGAUGACUGUCAAAAAAAGCAUGGAUGAGUGGGUGAACAAGUCGGCCCCACCUCUUCCCUCCCCUCUCCCUUCUCUCUCUCUCUCUCUCUGUCCCAUUCUUGUUUGAUAGCCCAAAAAUCUACCUGCUGGUCAAACCGGUUGACCGUGUCAAAAGCAUGUGUGGGGGCGAACACGUAGGCCCCACGCGGGUGGUGGCAUCCAUUCCAGGAUCAACACCCAGACAAAGUUCUUAGAAACCAAGACAUGGGCUACGCGGGGUCAAACGCUUUGUCCUGCCGGCUUGACUGCAUCUGCAUCACACACCGUUUAGGAGAUUCCUCCUGAUGUGUUCAACCAAAUAUAGUGCUGAUGAGAGUGAGUGAGUGAGUGAGAGAGAGAGAGCGAGAGAGAAUAGAAUCAGAUCAUUAGAAGAGUCCAAAUUCCUGGAUCACUCUGAUUUAUUAGGCAUCUUUAACAAGUUCGAUUGCUAUUCUUAAUAUCAUAUUACAAGCUUAAUUAGUUUGUUUUUGCAGUGCUAAGGAUUUAAGUGUUUCUAAGACCAAUUCUUUUUUUUCUAGUUUUAAUUUAGAAACUUAAAUCAGAAAAAAAAGAAAGAAAAAAAAAGAAAAAAGAAAAAGAUGUCAUCUUCAUCCCUAAUCUCUUUAAUUUUUUCCUCUAUUAUUGUUCUCUAUAGAGACAAAUUCCUGCUAUAUGUAAUUCCAAAUGAUUUGUCAC